AGUGAACGCUGGCGGUAGGCCUAACACAUGCAAGUCGAACGGCAGCACAGUAAGAGCUUGCUCUUACGGGUGGCGAGUGGCGGACGGGUGAGGAAUACAUCGGAAUCUACUUUUUCGGGGGGGAUAACGUAGGGAAACUUACGCUAAUACCGCAUACGACCUACGGGUGAAAGCAGGAGAUCUUCGGACCUUGCGCGAUUGAAUGAGCCGAUGUCGGAUUAGCUAGUUGGCGGGGUAAAGGCCCACCAAGGCGACGAUCCGUAGCUGGUCUGAGAGGAUGAUCAGCCACACUGGAACUGAGACACGGUCCAGACUCCUACGGGAGGCAGCAGUGGGGAAUAUUGGACAAUGGGCGCAAGCCUGAUCCAGCCAUACCGCGUGGGUGAAGAAGGCCUUCGGGUUGUAAAGCCCUUUUGUUGGGAAAGAAAAGCAGCAGGUUAAUACCCCGCUGUUCUGACGGUACCCAAAGAAUAAGCACCGGCUAACUUCGUG
rnacentral:rRNA from 1 species